UGCGUAGGCGGUUGGUUAAGUCUGUCGUGAAAGCCCUGGGCUCAACCUGGGAAUGGCGAUGGAUACUGGCUAGCUAGAGUGUGAUAGAGGAUGGCGGAAUUCCCGGUGUAGCGGUGAAAUGCGUAGAGAUCGGGAGGAACAUCCGUGGCGAAGGCGGCCAUCUGGAUCAACACUGACGCUGAGGCACGAAAGCGUGGGGAGCAAACAGGAUUAGAUACCCUGGUAGUCCACGCCCUAAACGAUGCGAACUGGAUGUUGGGCUCAACUCGGAGCUCAGUGUCGAAGCUAACGCGUUAAGUUCGCCGCCUGGGGAGUACGGUCGCAAGACUGAA
rnacentral:rRNA from 1 species